rnacentral:misc_RNA from 1 species
GAAAACCUCAAAUUCCGCCGCAGCUCCGCCGUACGCAGCGGCGUCCUUCUUCUUCUAAUUCGCCGGCGCUAUAAGAAAGAAAAAUAGCUCAGUUAUUUGAUGUUGCGAGUCUUUAAAUAGCUGUAUCUUUUACAGUUUUGUUUAAUUUUAGUUGUUAGGGUUUUUGGUGGUCGAAGAUGUAUCCUUCUCGAGGAAGUAAUGUGUAUGGACAACAAUCCUACUCUUCGCAACCAAGCUACGGCCAAAAUUUGGGACAUGGUUACUCCGAGAGUUCUGCCGGAGGGCCUGAGAGGUCCUCUCAGCUACCUACAGGUUCACGUCAUUCUUCGAUGUUAGGAACCCCCCAAGAUGCAGAAAUGAAUUCUUACACAAGUCACAGUCAUCAUCCAUCAACAGCGCCUAAUUAUGGUGGGCAAUACAGCUCUGUGUAUGGUUCAACUGCUCAGCAGAUGCCCACUAUUGGUGGAAAAGGAUCUGGAUCAUCAGCUUUGGAAAGCCGUAGCGGCUUUGGUGUGGAUUCGCCAAAGUUCACAGCAGGUGACUACAUUUCAUCAUCCAGCCAUGGAUAUGGUCAUAAAGCUGAACAACAAUACACUGAUAGGGUUUCUGAUUAUCCAACCCUUGAUAGACGAUAUGGUGAACGACACAACUCUUAUGCGGGGAGAGAUUUGACAAGUGAACAACCCAGUCGAUAUUCUGAUUCAAUUUCUUUUGGUAAUAAGCAUCAGGCUGAAAGAUAUGAACAUAUGGAUCAUGUAUCUUUAUUACGACAAGAGAAAAUGCGACAAGAGCAAAUACUGAAGUCUCAGGCAUUGCAAUCUGCAUCCGUUGAUGGAGGAUCUAGACAAGCUGAAUAUCUUGCUGCAAGGAGUGCCGCUGUUCGUCUUGCAGCCCAAGAUCCCAUAUCUUAUAGUAGCAGAAUCGACUCGGAUCCUCGCACUUUAUCAACGUUACCUGGAUCAUUACUUCCUGGGCAACAUGCUCCUUCUAUCCUAGGCGCCGCACCGCAAAGAGCUGUUGAGGAUGUCAUGUAUGUUCAAAGUUCUAUUAAUCCUGGUUAUGGAGUGAGCCUGCCUCCAGGUAGAGACUAUGGGAUAGGGAAGGGACUUCAUGCAACUUCCGUUGACUCUGACUAUCCUAGCAGUGUGUUGACACGUGCUGGUCACUCAAGGUUAGAUGAUUAUAAGGAUGACAGGGUUGUCUACUCUCGGGAGCUUGAACGAAGGGAGAAAGAUCGACACUCUUCACGCGAGCGAGAGAAAGAUCGAGAAAGGGCGAAAGAACGAGAAAGGGAACGGGAACGAGAUCGGGAGCGGGAACGAGAGCGAGAACGAGAAAGAGAACGGGAAAGAGAACGAGAACGAGAACGGCAGCGACAAAGAGAGCGUGAUCGUGAACGUGCUUUGGAACGUAAGGAGAAGGAGAAAGAUCAUGAGCCCAAACGUGGAGCUGAAAUAAAGCAUGACCGAACACCUCCCAGGAGUUCCAGGGACCGACGAGGUCCCUCUUUAAGUAAGGACAGUAGAUCUACACGACGAGAAUCUCCACGUCCUGAAGCUUUGAAUAGGCGUCAUUCACCUGUUAAAAGGAGAGAGUAUUUCUGCAAGGUUUAUUCAUCCAGUUUGGUUGAAAUUGAGAGGGAUUAUCUCUCACUGGAUAGGCGGUAUCCUAGGCUUUUCAUAUCUCCAGAAUGCUCAAAGGUAGUUGUAAAUUGGCCAAAAGGGAAUCUUAAGCUUUCUUUUCAUACUCCUGUCAGUUUUGAGCAUGAUUUUGUUGAAGGAGAGGCUGCAACAGCGCUGAAACGGCUGUCAUUGAAACCGUCUGCUGGUGAACCUGAAAAAUCAGAACCUGGAAUGACUAUAUGGAAUGCUAAGAUGAUUCUGAUGAGUGGGCUCAGCAGAAAUUCUCUGGAAGAGUUAUCAUCCGAUCGAAAUUAUGAUGACCGAAUACCUCACAUGUGCAAUAUGCUUAGGUUUGCGGUUCUUAAGCUGGAAAAUUCUUUGAUGACUGUAGGGGGGCAGUGGGAUAGUGUUGAUGGUGGUGAUCCAUCAUGUGAUGACUCCGCUUUGAUUCAGACAGCCCUUAGACAUGCAAAGGACAUAGCUCAUCUUGAUUUAAAGAACUGCCAGCAGUGGAACCGUUUUCUUGAGAUACACUAUGAAAGAGUUGGCAAGGAUGGGCAGUUCAGUCAUAAAGAAGUCACUGUUUACUUCGUCCCAGACUUGUCUGAAUGCCUCCCUUCAUUAGAAUCAUGGCGUGAGCACUGGUUUACUAAAAAAAAGGAUAUUGCUGAGAGAGAAAAGGAACUUGCUCUGAGUAAAGAGAAAUCCGGUGAGAAGAAAACCCUGAAAGAUGCUAAGAGGGGUCUCAAGUCAGAGAAAAACUCUGCAUCUGGACAGUCUGCAGAAGCAAGCAAGAAGGAGAAUGAUGGCAAACUGAAAGAGAGUAUAGCUGAUAAAGAAGGGUCUAAGAAAAAAGGUGGAGAGAGUAAACAACCUCUUGAAACUGGUAAGGUGGGAAAUGAUAAUGCUGAACCGAAUCCAGCUGCUAUUGAAACAGAUGGUAGUGCAAAAAUAGUUAAGAAGAGAGUUAUAAAAAGAAUUGUUAAACAGAAGAUCUCCAAUAAGAAAGAUUUGGAAACCACAGAUGAAGUGAAUGAGAAGACCGAUAUUAAAGAAACUGGGGAUGGAAAUAUGAGCUCAGAGAUUGCUUCCCCCCAGGUUGGAGCAUCUGCUAACCCUCCAGUUAAAACUUUUAUAAGGAAGAAAAUUGUUAAGAAGGUUCCUGUGGUGAAAACUCCAAAAGAAGAUGGGAUGAAACCUCCUGAUGUGGAAAGUGUCAAGGAGGUGGAAUCUUCGGAAGAUAAGGGAAAUAGUAAAACUGAUGGAAAUAGUACUUCUAUCAAGCAGGAUGCUGUUGUGAAGAAAUUAGUUAAGAGAAAAAUAAUAAAGAGGGUUCCCAAACGAAAAGCAGCAACUACAGACACCAACAAUGGAGCCACUGGUGUUGCUAGUCUCAAUGAUGAUGUGAAAGAGGAGAAAUCAGUUCAAGCUGAAAGUGAGGUGAAAAAUGUGGGUAAUAAUAAUGCAGAAACUGCAGAGAAUGUGAAUGUUGUCAACCAAGAACAGAAGGUUAGCCCUAAAACAAAAUCAAAAAUAGCUGAUGUGAAGCAAGAAUCUAAAGAAGAAAAAAAGGCCAAGGAGUUAAGUCUUGCUGGGUCCAAGAAAGAAUCCGAAGCAGACAAGCAUAAGAGUCCUCAAAAUGAUGACCUUUUAAAGCUUAAAGGAAAGGAAGUCCCCAAAGAACAAACAGGAAAGAAAGAUCAGGAUGAGAAAAUCCUUUCGAAGAGCAAAUCAACAAAAGAGAUCAAAGAAAAGAGAAGUGAAGAUCCUCCUCGGCACCCUGGAUUUUUUCUUCAAACAAAAGGGAGCAAGGAUAUGAAGUUGCGAUCAUUGUCUCUUUCAUUGGAUUCUUUGUUGGAUUAUACUGAUAAGGAUAUUGAAGAGUCAAGAUUUGAGCUUUCACUUGUUGCAGAAUCCCUGUAUGAAAUGCUUUACUAUAACAUGGGUUCUCGUCUCUUUACUUUUCUUCAGAAAUUACGCUCUAAGUUUUUGAUCAAGCGAAACCAGCAGAAAAGACAGCGAGAAGAAUCAUCCAAGAAGAUAAGUGAGGACAAACCAGCCAAGCGUGCAAAGAAGACGGAUGAACAUAGGGAGGAUGACAAAUCUACUAAAACUGAAUCACAUGGCAAACAUGAUCAGAAAGAUGAAAAAUUGCCUGUCAAGGAAGAUGCUAUUUUGCUAAAUAAUGCUGAAGAGACAGUGGAACCAGAUGAAAAUGCAAAUGAAUCUGAGAUGGAUGAAGAUCCGGAGGAAGACCCAGAGGAGGAGACAGAAAUGCAAGACACAAGCCCACAGGAUGGCCAGGCUAAGGAGGCAAAGGAAAAUGCCGAGGAAAUGCCUAAAACUGAUGAAGAAGCUUCUGAGAUAAAGCCAAAUCUAGAAUCAGGCAGCAAAGAAGUGUCAACAAAGGUGGAGAAAAAUACUAAAACUGAGGUUAACAAAGAACUUUUGCAGGCUUUCAGGUUCUUUGACCGAAACAGAGCGGGAUAUGUUAGGGUCGAGGAUAUGAGAUUAAUCCUCCACAACUUGGGGAAAUUCCUUUCUCACAGAGACGUCAAGGAACUUGUGCAAAGUGCACUUAUAGAGAGCAACACCGGGAGAGACGACCGAAUUCUCUACAAGAAGUUGAUCGACAUGAACUUGUGAAGUUUAGCUGCAAGAUUAGCUAGUGGAUUAUUAUCAAAUUUCAGUGCUGCCUUUUCAAUGAAUUGUUAAAUGGUGUGAACAAACGAUGCCCUAGAAUAGACUUGAAUUAUCGGCUAGUGAUUAAAUAAGGAAAAAUCUUAAAACCGAAUCAUUACAGAAUAUUUGAUGCUUGUGCAAUGUAUUUUUCAUAGUGGGCAUUCAGUUCUUAGUGUACGACUUGGUUAUCUCCAAUAUGAUGAUUAUAUUCAGUGGCCUA